UACGGAGGGUGCAAGCGUUGUCCGGAUUUAUUGGGUUUAAAGGGUGCGUAGGCGGCCCGUUAAGUCAGUGGUGAAAGCCUCCAGCUCAACUGGAGAACUGCCACUGAUACUGACGGGCUUGAGUACAGACGAGGUUGGCGGAAUUGAUAGUGUAGCGGUGAAAUGCAUAGAUACUAUCAAGAACUCCGAUUGCGUAGGCAGCUAACUAGGCUGUAACUGACGCUGAGGCACGAAAGCGUGGGGAGCGAACAGG
rnacentral:rRNA from 1 species